rnacentral:rRNA from 1 species
CAGUCGCCACGGGAAUACGGAGGGUGCAAGCGUUAAUCGGAAUUACUGGGCGUAAAGCGCACGCAGGCGGUCUGACAAGUCAGAUGUGAAAUCCCCGGGCUUAACCUGGGAACUGCAUUUGAAACUGUCAGGCUGGAGUCUUGUAGAGGGGGGUAGAAUUCCAGGUGUAGCGGUGAAAUGCGUAGAGAUCUGGAGGAAUACCGGUGGCGAAGGCGGCCCCCUGGACAAAGACUGACGCUCAGGUGCGAAAGCGUGGGGAGCAAACAGGAUUAGAUACCCCUGUAGUCCCUGUCUCUUAUAA